UGGGACGAUGGUAGCGGUUGUGUGAAGAUGGAGUUUCCUGGAGGAAAUGACAAUAACCUGACAAUCACAGGUCCUUCGCACCCUUUCCUGUCGGGGCCGAGACAUUCCAUACACCAAGCUUAGGUGAUGAGGAAUUUGAAAUCCCACCUAUCUCCUUGGAUUCUGAUUUGCCACUGGCUGUCUCUGAUGUCAUUGGCCACUUUGAUGACCUGGCAGACCCUUCCUCCUCACAGGAUGGCAGUUUUUCAGCUCAAUAUGUAGUCCAGACAUUGGACAUGCCUGUGGGCAUGACUCAUGGCUUGAUGGAGCAGGGCAUGGGGGGGGGGGCCGCUCCUGAGUGGGGGCUUGACCAUAGAUUUGGACCAUUCCAUAGGAACUCAGUACAGUGCCAACCCACUUGUUACAAUUGGUGUACCGAUGAGACAUGACCUCAGGCUUGAUGGGGCAUAGCCAAUUGACUACAAUUGAUCAAUCAGAACUGAGUUCUCAACUUGGUUUAAGCUUAGGGAGUGAUACCAUCUUGCCCCCUGCCCAGUCACCUGAGGAUCGUCUUUCAACCACCCCUUCACCUACUAAUUCACUUCAUGAGAAUGGUGUUGAGGAUUUCUGGAGGCAACUUCCCACCCAGAAGACCGUGGUAGUGGAAGCAGGGAAAAAGCAGCAGGCCCCAAAGAAGAAGAAAAAGAAAGACCCUAAUGAGCCUCAGAAACCAGUUUCAGCAUAUGCUUUAUUCUUUCGUGAUACACAGGCAGCCAUCAAGGGACAGAAUCCUAAUGCCACAUUUGAAGAGGUUUCAAAGAUUGUGGCUUCUAUGUGGGAUAGUCUUGGAGAGGAACAAAAACAGGUGUAUAAGAGGAAAACUGAAGCUGCCAAGAAAGAGUAUCUUAAGGCCCUAGCUGCAUAUAAAGAUAACCAAGAAUGUCAGGCCACUGUGGAAACAGUAGAAUUGGAUCCGGUGCCACCAUUGCAGACUCCUUCGCCAUCUCCUGUGGCUGCUGUUGACUGACCCAGCAUCUCCAGCACCAGCCUCAUCCGAGUCCCCUGCCCUGUCCCCUUGCAUUGUUGUUAACUCUACUCUUUCAUCCUAUGUAGCAAACCAGGCAUCUUCUGGGCCUGGGGGUCAGCCCAAUAUUACCAAAUUGAUUAUUACCAAACAGAUGUUGCCCUCUUCUAUUACUCAAGGAAGGAUGGUUACUGUUAUCCCAGCCACAGCGGUGACCUCCCGGGGGCUCCAAUUAGACCAAACAAGUAUAGCUACCAUCCAGCCCAGCCAACAAGCCCAGAUUGUCACUAGGUCAGUGUUGCAGGCUGCAGCUUCUGCUGCUGCUUCUACGCAACUGCCCCCACCCAGACUACAACCCCCUCCAUUACAACAGAUGCCUCAGCCCCCAACUCAGCAGCAAGUUACCAUUAUUCUGCAGCAGCCUCCUCCACUUCAGGCCAUGCAACAGCCUCCUCCUCAAAAAGUCCAAAUCACUUACAGCAACAGCCACCACCUCUGCAAAGCAAGAUUGUACCUCCACCCACUCUGAAAAUACAGACUACCUUGGUCCCUCCAGCUGUAGAAAACAGUCCUGAGUGGCUUAUGAACAACAGCCCUGAAGCCCACACAGUGGAGGCAACCUCUCCUGAGACAAUCUAUGAGGAUUGUGAGACAAUCUCAGACGGAUGUUGAAUUGGUCAGUGGGUCUCCUGUGACACUUUCACCACAGCCUCGAUGUGUAAGGUCUGGUUGCGAGAACCCUCCUGUUGUGAGUAAGGACUGGGACAAUGAAUACUGCAGCAAUGAGUGUGUAGUGAAACACUGCAGGGAUGUCUUCUUAGCCUGGGUGGCCUCUAGAAAUCCAAACACUGUGGUGUUUGUGAAAUAGGCUUUCCAGUUCCUCAAGCCAGUGAAGAUUUACCUGCAGGAAACAAGUCCAAGAGCCUGUUUUUGAAACACAAGCUUCUGGUAGUGCCUGAUCACAAUCCAAGACUUUCCUUCAAGCUUCCCCUACUUUCCUGCUUUCAGCAGUGGCCAGGUUAUGGAGCA